CGCACCUUCGUGACUUCAACACAGUUCCCAAGUAAUACAGUAAUUAUCUUUUUGCAGCAUGGUGUAUUGCCAUCUUGUGGCUGGUUUACCUAUACCGUGCUGAAAAUGCAAAUAAGUCCUGCCUAGAUGAUGGAUUGGACUCAACUCCUGCUCCAAUGAUGUGUGUCACAGCUCUAGCUGCAGUGCAGAAGUAAGACUCAAUGAGCACCCGUCACUUUUCUUAGAUUAAGGUUGUAAAACUACCAUGUUACAUGGCCUUGAUUAUCAUUCAGUGUGAGCAGAGCUCCAUUAUAAUCUAAAUUUACAAUUAUUAUAAUUUGGUUAUGAUAAACAAAGCUGUGAAAUAAAAGGUUAGCUUUACAUUAUUUGUCUGCUUCU
rnacentral:lncRNA from 1 species